GCCCGCUCAGAAACUUAAAGGAAUUGACGGGGGCCCGCACAAGCGGUGGAGUAUGUGGUUUAAUUCGAUGCAACGCGAAGAACCUUACCUGGUCUUGACAUCCCGGAGACCCUUAGGAAACUAGGGGGUGCUUCCAUCUGGAAGAAUCUGGAGACAGGUGCUGCAUGGCUGUCGUCAGCUCGUGUCGUGAGAUGUUGGGUUAAGUCCCGCAACGAGCGCAACCCUUGCCUUUAGUUGCCAGCAGUUCGGCUGGGCACUCUAAAGGGACUGCCGGUGUUAAACCGGAGGAAGGUGGGGAUGACGUCAAGUCCUCAUGGCCUUUAUGACCAGGGCUACACACGUACUACAAUGGCCGAUACAAAGGGCAGCGACACUGCGAGGUGAAGCCAAUCCCGUAAAAUCGGUCUCAGUCCGGAUUGGAGUCUGCAACUCGACUGCAUGAAGUUGGAAUCGCUAGUAAUCGCGGAUCAGCCAAGCCGCGGUGAAUACGUUCCCGGGCCUU
rnacentral:rRNA from 1 species